AAAAUGUUAGCUUGGGUGCCUACAGCAGCUUGGUUCAUAAUUUUAAACAUUUGAACACGGUCCAUCCAGACAAUGUCAGAAAUGACAAGAUGUGGUGGCACUUUGGGUAUAAACUAAAUGAAUAGCCGUGAUCUGUAAAGGCCAUGGGUGUGCUGCGCAAGCCCAGCGGUCUCACACUGUGAAAAUGCAAACCUUCUGAGGAUAGUAAAGACUUGUCGGGUUAUAGAGAAAGAAGCCUGGAGUAGGUAAAGCCCAUACAUUGAUAGUGCAGUGAGGCUGGUCUGUGUGAGAGCAAAAAUGGGGGAAAUGUAUUAUGUGUUUGUCAAAAAAACUUACAGAAAAUAAACACAAGAGUAAGCCUUCUUGGAAACUUUGGACUCUUGAUAACAAUACGUGAGGGUAGGUUUAGCAAAUGUAAUGUAUCUACCCUUGGGGCAGGGAAACGUGGACGGAGAGUCAGGGAUAUGAGACUUCUCUGUACCCGAUAAUCAUGCUGUGCCCCUAAAAAAUUCUGAAAAAGAAAUAGAACUUUGUGUUUUCUAUUUGCAGUUAAGUUUAGUGAGUCUUUAAGACUCACUAAAGAAGAUCCCAAAUUGGGGAAAGUGUUUGCAUUUGAUUUCUAGAAACUUGUUUAGAUUCUAAAAUGUGUAAGUCAAAAGUGAGAGAAAAAACAAUAAUUAAUAUUAAAAAGUGGAUAAAAAUUGGACUGGAGAGAUGGCUCAGCAGUUAAGUGCACUGACUGUUCUUUCAGAGGUCCUGAGUUCAAUUCCCGGCACCCACAUGGUGGCUCACAACCAUCUCUAAUGGAAUCUGAUGCCUUCUUCUGGUGUGGACUCACAUAUAAAAUAAAUAAAUCUUUAAAAAUCUUAAAAAUGUACUACUUAUAAACAAAAGCAAUUAUAAAAGAGUUGCUGUUCUAAGGCUAUUAAUUUGGCAAAUGUCACCACACAGUGAUACUGC
rnacentral:lncRNA from 1 species